AUUGAGCGUCUGGACGUCUUAUUAUGAUCGCAAUCUAUACAUCGCAGCAACGUAUUAACUAUGUCGGUGAGAUGUAUUAACAGUUCCUCAGUUGUUCACGUGUCAUUUGGAAGCAUCGUUUAUUGAGUGUCUGGACGUCUUAUUAUGAUCACAAUCUAUACAUCGCAGCGACGUAUUAACGAUGUCGGUGAGAUGUAUUAACGGUUCCUCAAAUGUUUGCGGGUCAUUUGGAAGCAUCGUUUAUUGAGCGUCUGGACGUCUUUACACACUGUUGAUGUGAUGGACAGUGAAUCUGAAUUCUGCCCAGCAACAUAUUCGCGCCACAGUCGAUAAAGGAAGGGGGAAAAAAAGUUGCCAGUCUAUGAAGGGUUAGGAUGGAGACUUUGCUGCUGUCAAAUACCAUGUGGAAGAUCAGAAAACGUCGGCAGGAGGUGGGAGAAAAGGCAAUGCAGAGAUGAAGGACAUCAUACCACAAUAAUAGUUGUGUGUAUAAGCCUGAUCAACAAGUGAAAAGAGUCAGAUAAGAGGAAAGAGUUUGAAAACUGAUUUGACUGCUGAAUUGGCCUGCUAAGAGGAAGAGGCACUAAUGAUUCCAGAAGAGGAAGCCAAAGAAGAAGACCUACACAGACUUUGUGUCUUUAAUUAUUAUUAAAUCUUAUCCAUCUAUCAACAGUAAAUAUUUUAAUCCUUUUGAAGUUGUACUUAAGUUACAUUUUGUAUUCAAAUGUAACCCUAAUGUGCAAUGAAGAGAUAUACCACACGUCCUUCCUGCUGCUGCCAGACUUUAUAAUCAACACUGCUCCAAGUAGACUACAUGCACCUUAUCUGACAAUUUACUCACAUGCAACAUCAAUGUACACCUUUUUUAUGCAAUAUCAAUAACUCCUCUGUGCAAUACUGUGAAUACCGUAUUAUUAAACUUUCUGUCUGUAUACUGAACAUUUUUAACUGCUUUAUUCUUGCGUUUUUACUGAUGCUUUUGUCAUUGCACUUUCCUUUGGUGCAGUAUCACUGAAAAUGUCCUCCACUGUGGGAUUAAUUAAGGAUCUUAUCUUGUUUUAAAUUUUUAUAUGUUUGUAUUUUUCAGAUCUCUCAAUUACCAUGAUGACCAAGAUAUUCAACGGGGAAAUGUGGAAAGCUGCCAUAUUCCCAGACAUUACUUUGCCAAAUCAUCUGUGCAGGUUCACCCCGAGAUUCUGGACAUCACUGAAGGAGAGAGCAGAUGAACCGGGGAGUUUAGUUCAACAUUUGAGCUUGUUGUUUGCCCUACCUGAUACUGAAAAGGACAGUACUGAAGCUGGUGUCUCACCGAGUUGGCUCCACCUUGAGGGAGGCAGGGUGCCUGAUGAGCCGAUCCAAGGAGGACAGGAGUGUGUCGAAGCCUGGCCGGUCCCCUCGAUCAGCCUGCCAGCACUGAAGCAUCAGAGAGUGGAGGGCUGAGGGGCAGUUGUGGGGGGCAGGGAGACGAUACUGGUCUGCGACUGCCUUCAUCACCUGCAGAGACACUGAAAGAAAAUGAGGGGAGAGACGGAUCGGGAACGACAUGCAGCAGAGGUCUCCCGCUGAAGGCAAACAGUGGACGUUGCGGCUCAUGGUUGGUGCCACCAGGGCGCCCCAGGACUUCUAAUGGCGUGUUGUUACACUGUAGCAGUUAAACUCACACUUAAGCAGGAUUUGAGUGCAUUUCCAUCACUAAUUGAUUAUGACUUCCUCUGCUCAGGCAACAUUCUCCUAAAUACUCACUUCUUGAUUGCUCAUGUCCCAAUAUGGACGCUCUCCAUAUGACAUCACUUCCCACAUAAGUAUGCCGAAGCUCCAGGCGUCACUCGCUGAGCUGAACUUGCGAUGCUGAAAGGCUUCUGGUGCCGUCCACCUCACAGGAAUCUUACUGCCCUGAUGGAAGAUGAAUUUGUGAAUUAUAUUACAUUGGAACCACAAAUCAGGACCAUUAAAAACCACUCAAUUUUCCAAUUCGUACCAGUGAGGCAGUGUACGUAGGUAUGUUGUGGUCCAGGCCCCUCAUGAGGCGGGACAGGCCAAAGUCAGACACUUUACAGACCAGGUUGGAGUUGACCAACACGUUCCUAGCUGCCAGGUCCCGGUGGACAAAGUUUCUCUCGGAGAGGUAACGCAUCCCUGCACCAACUCCUCUGAGCAUUCCGAUAAGCUGGAGGACACUGAACUGGCCCUCGUUCUCCUGAAAGAGUUACGAGGGCAGGAUGGAGGGAGGGCACAGAAGAAUGGGAGAGGAGAGGAAGAGAGUUUUUGCUUUAUAGUCAAGUGAAACGUGUGCAGUACUAACAAAAUGCCAAAGAUGGAGACAGGGUGUUGUGGUCUCACCCGGAGGAAAGCGUCCAAGGGCCCGUUCUCCAUGAACUCAGUGAUGAUCCUCUCUGGGGGGGUACAAGUGAUCACACCCUCCAACUUCAGUACGUUGGGGUGGUCAAACUGUCCCAUGACCCCUGCUUCACUGAGGAACAUGCCCUUCUCUCUGUCAGACGCCCCCCAGCGUAGAGUCUUGACGGCUACCAGCACCUCCCUUCGACCCAGCGGACGGUAGCGGCCCCGAGAAACCUCCCCAAACUGGGCUGGAGAAGAGAGGAGGUGGAAUAGAUUACGCUGUGUUGAUACUUAUCACAUAGUCUCAUAUUGCCAGACCUUCCACCACUGCGCUGCGGAGGAGAAAAGAGAGAAACAGGCCUACCUGCACCAAUCACCUCCUCAAUCUUAAGAUGAGUGGGAUCUAUCUCACGGGCAAACUCUUUGACAGCCUCACUGGGGUCCUCAUAUGUGGAUGGGUCCACAUAAUACUUAACUCCACCUGGAAUAUAAAGGCAUGAUUUUAGACCUAACUGACUUUUUAUCCCAUUACUUUCCACAUUUAGAUGUAUUGUCCUGAUACUAGAAAUAAUCUGUUAGACUACACUACACUAUAAAAGAUACACAGACGUAGUGAAUUAUUUUACAUCUAUAAAACUAAUAUUUGUUAAACAAAUAAAAAAGAAACAAACCAAAUAAAAACCCAAACUUUGUUAGUAACAGAGCUUAAUUAUGCACUAUGCCUCCAAAUCAUAAACAAUGUUGUUAUAAUAGGUGGCCUUUUGCACUAAGAAAAUAUCUUGCUUUAAAAGAAAUAAUGAAUUUAAACUAAAUUACAUUAAAUCAAAUAUGCUAAUGCUCACCUCGGUUACUGAUGUACCUCUGCAGUCUGUCGCUGUACGGACUCUCUCUCCUCUUACUGCCAUGAAAAGGCAAAGAAAAUGCAGGAAUGUGCUCGUGAUUAAAAAAAAAAAAAAUCUGAUCAUAUGUCUGAUCAUGUGAAUGGAUCGACAACCUACCUGCGAAAUACCACCACGACCACAAUCGCUGCCACCACCAGGAGAAAUGCUGCACCGCCCAUCACUGACCCAACCAGCAGAGGAAGUCGAUUCUGGAUCUGCUGUGAAUGUUCCUCUGUGGGAGAGAACGUGAGAAAACCAUGAGCUGUUGAUGUGUCAUUGAGACAGUGUUUUUGUCUUUUACGGUUUUGAGAACUAGAAAAUUACAAACACUGUUGUUACUGUAACUCAGUAUAUUUUUUUAUGUUUGUUCUUUAAUGAGUACACUUUAAAACCAGCCAUUUUAUUUUCACUUACAGUAGAAUCUGGAUUGAAUAUCACACUCAAUUACAGACUAGCCCACAGUUUUUAAUUUGACUUGUAAAGUAAUCUUUGAGGAUUUCCUAUGAAGAUUAUCCCUGGUGAAUUAAAGUAGAGUCAAUUGAACUCAGGAAGCUUUCUAAUAAAAGAAGACGGUCAAACCACUUUAGAGAACAUCGUUGGAAAAGAGUUAGUUGCCGUGUUCAUACCAAGGUGGUCAACAUCACUUCUUCAGUAGUAAACUGUCUAUUACUACUCUUCCUUGCUGUAUCUCUCAAUAACUAGUUGAUUACUCUGUUCUAAUAAUAUUCAUCUGUCAUUUUACUCUCAUAAAUGAUCAUUUUCUGUACAUUAUUAAGGCCUGCUACCAGUGUUCCUGGUAUUACAGUAUUACAGUAAAUGAUUGUUGUACCCAGAGGCAGCGUGGUGAAGUAGAUGGUGUUGCUGUAGGGGCCGUAGCCCCGUUCAUUCCGAGCUCUGAUCUGGAAGGCGUAGAUGGAGCCGGGGAUCAGAGAGUUGACGGUCACCGUGUUGGUCUCACUGUACACACUCGCUGCACUGUCCACAUCUGAACCCUGAGGAACACAGAAGGAGGACAUUUUGUGGUGACUCUUAUGUGCCAGUUUGGGCGGUUGUGCCGCAUGUUUGCAUGUAUGUGUGCGAUAAUUCACUGAGUGUACCUUGUCAUAGUAUCUAAGCUGGUACUCCAGGAUGUCUCCAUUGGGCCUGUCGGGCUGAGGCCACGAGAGAGUGAUGGAGUCUGGGGCUCUGCUCAGCUGGUGCAUCAUAGGAACUGUGCUGGGAACUGUGGGAGAGAACAGGUUACUGAUUUAUGAGCUGGAAUAAAGUUCCGCUAAGGCCGGCUACACACUGGAUGCGUGGCGUGAGCGUGUCAGCUGCGUGGCGUGUGUGUUUUU